CCCCCAGUAACUGCGAGUGAAGAGGGAAGAGCUCAUCAUUGGAAUCUGGCAGCGUUGCGCUGUCCGAGUUGUAGAUGAGAAGAGUAGGCCAUCUGGGCUGCAUGGUGUCCAAGUACAAUAGGCCGUCAGUGGGACAUCAUAGAGGGUGACAAUCCCGUCCUUGACACCAAUGUACGAGUCCUUUACGAUGCCUAUCUCGGAGAGUCGAGCAGUUUGGGAUUUGCUGCUUAAACAUGGGAGGUAGAUUCCUUCCAAAGCUAAAUACAGGCAAGAGACCGAUAGAGAACAAGUACCGCAAGGGAAAGAUGAAAUAGAACUCUGUGAAGGGAGUCAAAAGACGUGAAAUUGUUGCGAGAGAAGCGAUUCAAGUCAGCGUAGCUGGGCCCAUCAAGCCUCGCGCUUUGGACCAGCUUUGCCAGCGGUCUUGUCCCUAGAGACUUGACUAAGGUGCCCUGCCCGGUCUAACGGGCAGACCUCCCCUGGAGGCCAGUGGCAUGGCUGGUGGAAUGGCUUGCAAUCGACCCGUCUUGAAACACGGACCAAGGAGUCUAACAUGCAUGCGAGUAUAAGGGUGGCAAACCCGUAUGCGCAAAGAAAGUGAUAGCCUUUUAUGGCCGAGAAUGACCUGAUGACCAGACAAGCAAUAUUAUGUCCCUCGUACGGUCAUUGCCCAAGUCCCAUGGUCAGAUCCCAUGGACAUGGAGUUGGAGCGUGCAUGCUAGGACCCGAAAGAUGGUGAACUAUGCCUGGACAAAGCGAAGCCAAAGGAAACUCUGGUGGAGGCUUGUAGCGAUUCUGACGUGCAAAUCGAUCGUCUGAUCUGGGUAUAGGGGCGAAAGACUAAUCGAACCAUCUCAUAG
rnacentral:rRNA from 1 species